rnacentral:rRNA from 1 species
UAGGGAAUCUUCCGCAAUGGACGAAAGUCUGACGGAGCAACGCCGCGUGAGUGAAGAAGGAUUUCGGUUCGUAAAACUCUGUUGUUAGGGAAGAAAAAAUGUAUAGUAACUAUAUACAAAAGAGACGGUACCUAACCAGAAAGCCACGGCUAACUACGUGCCAGCAGCCGCGGUAAUACGUAGGUGGCAAGCGUUGUCCGGAAUUAUUGGGCGUAAAGCGCGCGCAGGUGGUUUAGAAAGUCUGAUGUGAAAGCCCACGGCUCAACCGUGGAGGGUCAUUGGAAACUAAUAAACUUGAGAGCAGGAGAGAAAAGUGGAAUUCCUAGUGUAGCGGUGAAAUGCGUAGAGAUUAGGAGGAACACCGGUGGCGAAAGCGGCUUUUUGGCCUGCAACUGACACUGAGGCGCGAAAGCGUGGGGAGCAAACAGG